GGGAAAAUAGUUUAAUAGGUAAAACCCUGGUUUCCAAAACCAAAGUUAGGGGUUCAAGUCCCUUUUUUCCUG
rnacentral:tRNA from 1 species